UUCGAUGGUAGCUGUGCGCAGGGCGCCUUCGGGUGCGCCGGUUUCUUGGAUCCCCGGUCUACUAACCUGCGUACAGCUGCCACCCAU
rnacentral:antisense_RNA from 2 species